rnacentral:tRNA from 2 species
GGACCAUUAGCUCAGUUGGUUAGAGCGUCCGGCUCAUAACCGGAUGGUCCGGGGUUCAAGUCCCUGAUGGUCCA